UUAAUUCUUACCAUCUAAACUAUCCUACUGGUGACGGAAAUGCUUAUGUGGUGAGUCUCUCUGCUUUGAAUGUUAUCUUCUUUCAAGUUGCGUGUUUUCAUAUUUUGAUUAACAUAAUCACUCAUCAUACGACGCUUAAACCUAGUACCUAACAUGCAUGUCACCCAUUGUUACAACUUAUUUCGACAUUUAAUACCUGUUUAUCCUGUGAACAGGAUAACGGAUUGCGUGCCAUUAGUCCCGCCACGGUUACCAUAGUUAUGGAUAUUUUGUCCAAGCGGGAAAGCGAUUCGAGCUUACGCCAGCUCGUACUGCAAUGUUUCACCAUGAUGGCAAUCAUAUUGCAAAAAUCUAGUCCUGAACAGCGCCAAAUCGAUUUACUUACUAUUUUUCAACUGUAUCUGGGAGCCGUUCACACCUUACUGGAAACGGAACAUUUCCUGCAGAAAGGAUCGCCGAGGUUAUAUUUCGAGGUGAAAGUUUCGAGGUGUCGCCAAAUGAUGAUAAUUACAUUGACGUCGGGGCUCUGACUACUAUUAUCGGAGUGAUAGAGCACUUCCUACAGGGGCACGUAAACAAGCAUGUACUGUGCAAUGCCAUGUUCGAAGCAAAAUUUAUACCCAGUCUAGUGCUGAUCACGGAACGAGUUAAGAUCUGGCAUAUCGAUCAUCAAACAUUGGGCUCAACACUGGUCAGGAAUUUCCAUAAGCUUUGCAGCAGUUCUGAAAAAAUCCACUACAAUCUAAUGCAUACCAACAACGUGAACGUUUUGUUCGAUGGAUUGAAACUUUUCGGGCGACCGUCUCACGAUUUGGUAUGCGAUUGUUUGUACUUUGCCUUCGAGGGAGGCGAAUACCAUAGUUUGAACGCUCGAAUCGUUAUCAAGCUGGUGGAGUGGAUACCUGUGAUGGCUGAGGCGGAACAAAACUACACCAGUGACGUACUGCUGAAGAAGUGUUCGGCCAGCAUUCAAAGCAAACAUUCAAUAUCGGAGCAACGGAUGAUUAAGUGUAUCGUGGAUUACUGCUUGGAAGAUCAACAUAAAUUGUCAGCGAAAUGCGCUAUAAAUUUGCUUAAACUAAUAGAGGAACUCGCCAAGCAUAGUAUCCACCCGAAUAUCUCCGGUUGCUCAGGAACGAGGCUAACUUUGAGUAUAGAAAACAGUUACUGGAAGUCAUUAUGAAGGUUUCUCAACAGGCUGUCACUUGGAAUUACCCCGAUAGAGUAUCUGGAUAUCCAAGGUAACACAAAUGGCAUUACAAUUCCCGAAAUACGUAAAUGGGAUACCGCCCAUGGGUUCGUGUUUCAUGCUUGGGUUCGACUUGAUAAAGACGUAGAACAUUUCAACGACGCGGAAGGCAUCAAUCUGCAAAACUAUCGCAGACAUUUAUUCAGCUUGACGACGAAUUUCGGAACCGGGUAUGAAUUUUUCAUCCAGAAAAACGGCAAUUUUGUGGUUAGUGUCAUCACGAAAAAGGAAUUUUUCACCGCAACCGCUCAGUCGACCCACUUGCUGGAUGGUCGAUGGCAUUCGAUUACUGGAAGCGUAGUUCCACCGAAGAGAUUGUUUUCCUACCAUCAAAUCAACGUUUAUAUAGACUCGGUGCAGAAGCUUGGAUCAACGAUGAAAUAUGCAGCAUUUGCCGAGGUGAAUAUUAUAUGUGUACCGCCAAAACCUGCUACAGUAGAUGAUUAGAAUUCGAAGAAAUAAAAGUUUUUGACACGUUAAUU